AUGUCCGGAGCGGGAGGCAAGUGGAUGACCUCCUCCGUUAAGGAGGAGCAUAUCGAAAGACUCCGCAGCGCCGGCUACCUGUCCGGCGACAUCGCGCACCGGCUGCCCGAUGAGGGGCAGCUCAUCCCCACCCCCAGGCCCCAUGAGAGGGUCGUUUUUCUUCCCCACUUCCUCCGCGGACUGGGUUUUCCACUUCACCCCUUUGUCCGGGGGCUCAUGUUCUACUACGGCCUGGAUUUCCAUGAUCUGGCACCGAACUUCAUCCUCAACAUCUCGGCGUUUAUCGUCGUGUGCGAGGCCUUCCUCUGCAUCCAGCCCCACUUCGGCUUGUGGCUCAAGACCUUCAAUGUCAAGCCGAAGGUAGGGAAGGGCACUCAAGCGGAGUGCGGAGGCGCCAUGUUGGGCAAGAUGCCCAAUGUCCUUUGGUUCGAAGGGGCCUUCGUGGAAUCCAUCAAGGGGUGGCAAUCGAGGUGGUUCUAUAUCACCGAGCCGCGCGACCCUAAGUGGGCGGCGGCCCCCGAGUUCCGAUCUGGUAUCCCCACGCAGCUCACCUCCUGGAAAGAGAAGGGCUUGCUGUGCGAUAGUUCGGAGGAGCUGACGGGACUCCAAGCCUGUAUCCAGAAGCUGGUGAAGAAGCUUAGGCUAGUUAACGUGGUCCAAGUCAUGCUCGUCCGCCGGAUUCUCCCAUGCCAAGAGCGGGCAUUCAAUCUGUGGGAGUUCAAUCCAGAACAGCACCAGGCGCUGAGCGGGCUCUUCGACACGACGUACGAAGGCACCUGGAGGGUGCUGUUUAAGGGCGCCGAAGCCCCCACAUCCGCGACAGAAGAUCGCGGAUUUCGCUCGCAGCGCCAAGCCGACGAGGUAAGUGAUUCUACCCCUUCACGGGACACUUGCUUCUCAUAG
rnacentral:rRNA from 1 species